GAUGAACGCUGGCGGCGUGCCUAAUACAUGCAAGUCGAGCGAACAGACGAGAGUGCUUGCACUCUCUGACGUUAGCGGCGGACGGGUGAGUAACACGUGGGUAACCUACCUAUAAGACUGGGACAACUUCGGGAAACCGGAGCUAAUACCGGAUAAUAUUUAGCUUCGCAUGAAGCAAUAGUGAAAGACGGUUCUGCUGUCACUUAUCGUUGGACCCGCGGUGUAUUAGCUAGUUGGUGAGGUAACGGCUCACCAAGGCAACGAUACAUAGCCGACCCGAGAGGGUGAUACGCCACACGGGGACUGAGACACGGCCCAGACUCCUACGGGAGGCAGCAGUAGGGAAUCUUCCGCAAGGGACGAAAGUCUGACGGAGCAAUGCCGCGGGAGGGAAGAAGGUGUUCGGAUCGUAAAACUCUGUUGUAAGGGAAGAACAAGUACGUUAGUAACUGAACGUACCUUGACGGUACCUUACCAGAAAGCCACGGCUAACUACGUG
rnacentral:rRNA from 1 species